rnacentral:misc_RNA from 1 species
GAAAUGCGAUAAGUAAUGUGAAUUGCAGAAUUCAGUGAAUCAUCGAAUCUUUGAACGCACCUUGCGCUCCUUGGUAUUCCGAGGAGCAUGCCUGUUCGAGUGUCAUGGAAUUCUCAACUCUAUUUGCUUUUGUGAAUAGAGCUUGGAUUUGGAGGUUUAUUGCUGGUACUUGUGAUCGGCUCCUCUUGAAUGCAUUAGCUCGAACCUUUGCGGAUCAGCUAUCGGUGUGAUAAUUGUCUACGCCGUUGCAGUGAAGCAUAUCAAUGGGCUCGGCUUCCAAUCGUCCUUUACUGGACAAUGACUUUGACCUUUGACCUCAAAUCAGGUAGGAUUACCCGCUGAACUUAAGC